rnacentral:rRNA from 1 species
GAUGAACGCUGGCGGCGUGCCUAAUACAUGCAAGUCGAGCGAACGGACGAGAAGCUUGCUUCUCUGAUGUUAGCGGCGGACGGGUGAGUAACACGUGGAUAACCUACCUAUAAGACUGGGAUAACUUCGGGAAACCGGAGCUAAUACCGGAUAAUAUUUUGAACCGCAUGGUUCAAAAGUGAAGACGGUCUUGCUGUCACUUAUAGAUGGAUCCGCGCUGCAUUAGCUAGUUGGUAAGGUAACGGCUUACCAAGGCAACGAUGCAUAGCCGACCUGAGAGGGUGAUCGGCCACACUGGAACUGAGACACGGUCCAGACUCCUACGGGAGGCAGCAGUAGGGAAUCUUCCGCAAUGGGCGAAAGCCUGACGGAGCAACGCCGCGUGAGUGAUGAAGGUCUUCGGAUCGUAAAACUCUGUUAUUAGGGAAGAACAUAUGUGUAAGUAACUGUGCACAUCUUGACGGUACCUAAUCAGAAAGCCACGGCUAACUACGUG